ACCCGCAUUCAGGUGCUCGUGGAGAGCCCCCUCCCCAGAUCUCCGCCACGUCCCUGGCGGGAUGCAGCCCCUGAACCAGACCGGCAGCAACACUCGCUCUUCCCGGGGUCUGCGUGCUUCGCCCCGGUUCUACACCCAGACAGCCUCCAGCGUGGCUCCAUUUUCUGCAGACCUCCCUGCUGCCAGCCUGUUUGCAAUCACAACCGCAACCUCCUCGCGUCCGCUUGGCCGCCAGCCGGUGGUUUAGUGCCGAGCAAGGAGCAGAACAGCCGCCUCGGACACAGCCUCCACGGGCCGAGACAGGCAUUAGCCACAAAGAACACGGUUACUGUGCUCCAGUUGCAGAACAGCCCCGGACGCUAGAUUUGAUUUAAUUCAAAGCAUAAAGGAUCCUCAGGUGUUUGAUGUAGAAAGGGAAGGCCAGGGUAAGCCAUAAGGGUAAAUGGGCAGAGGCAGCGGGAACCGACCCUCAGUAAGGCUUUGGCUGGGAUGCCAAGCUCUCAUGCAUGCUUAAAAGUGACUUUUAAUUGUUCUAUUUACUUGGAACUAGCUUCUCUUGCUAGAUUUUCAGCACCUCUGAACCCAGAUAGGAUUGGUCCCCCACCUGAAAACAAACCUGGAGGAAAGGCUUUGCUUGGCUGUUUGAAUUCCCACUGUUCCCCUGUCACAAGGUACCUGCGGGGCAGCAGCUGCAGCCACAGGUUAGGUGGAUCUUGCUGUUCCGUCACCUUCGCUUUCAUCAAUCUUUUCUGUAAGUCCGAACAGGCAACAGACCACGAGAGCUGAUCCAGAGCCAGGGGCGGAACGAUCUCUGCAUGCAGCCAGGAAUUUGUCUUGGACAAUAGCUGAGACAGAUGUGCCUACCCACUGGUCCCCCAGAAACAGCCACUGCCCACCUCAGUACUUCUUCAGGCCGCACGGCAGACCUAGGACCGAUUUGGCACCCGAAAAUGGCGG